rnacentral:rRNA from 1 species
UCAAGUUAUUAAGGGUGCAGGGCGGAUGCCUUGGCACUAGGAGCCGAUGAAGGACGUGAUAAGCUGCGAUAAGCUUCGGGGAGUUGCACGUAAACUUUGAUCCGAAGAUUUCCGAAUGAGGAAACUCACUUAGAGUAAUGUCUAAGUAUCAUUAAGUGAAUACAUAGCUUAAUGAGGGGAACUCAGGGAACUGAAACAUCUAAGUACCUGAAGGAAGAGAAAGAAAUUCGAUUCCGUAAGUAGCGGCGAGCGAACGCGGAUUAGCCCAAACCAAUAAAGUUUUCUUUAUUGGGGUUGAGGACAUACCACAUAUAAGAGGUCAUUAUAGACGAAGAAGUUUGGAAAAACUCAUCAUAGAAGGUAAUAAUCCUGUAGUCAAAAUAAUAAUUCUUUAGGUAUGAUCCAGAGUACCACGGGACACGUGAAACCCUGUGGGAAGCAGGAGGGACCACCCUCCAAGGCUAAAUACUACCUAGUGACCGAUAGCGUAUAGUACCGUGAGGGAAAGGUGAAAAGAACCCCGGGAGGGGAGUGAAAUAGAACCUGAAACCCUGCACUUACAAGCUGUGGAAGCACAUUUCUUGUGUGACCGCGUACUUUUUGUAGAACGGGCCAACGAGUUACGUUAAGUAGCAAGGUUAAGCACUUAAGGUGUGGAGCCGUAGCGAAAGCGAGUUUUAACUGAGCGUUCAGUUACUUGACGUAGACCCGAAACCGGGCGACCUACCCAUGAGCAGGAUGAAGCGAAAGUAAAAUUUCGUGGAGGUCCGAACCCACGAGCGUUGAAAAGCUCGGGGAUGACUUGUGGGUAGCGGUGAAAUUCCAAUCGAGCCCGGAGAUAGCUGGUUCUCCCCGAAAUAGCUUUAGGGCUAGCCUCAAGGUGAGAGAUACGGAGGUAGAGCACUGAAUGUCCUAGGGGGUAUUGCACCUACCGAAGACUAUCAAACUCCGAAUGCCGUCAUCUUAUACUUGGGAGUCAGACUGUGGGUGAUAAGAUUCAUAGUCGAAAGGGCAACAGCCCAGAUCGUCAGCUAAGGUCCCUAAAUGUAAGUUAAGUGGUAAAGGAUGUGGGAUUGCACAGACAACCAGGAUGUUGGCUUAGAAGCAGCCACUCAUUCAAAGAGUGCGUAAUAGCUCACUGGUCGAGUGAUCCUGCGCCGAAGAUUUCCGGGGCUAAAACUUACUACCGAAGCUACGGCAUCAGUAAUGAUGGGUAGGGGAGCUUCCCAUACGGGUUGAAGCAUGACCGUAAGGACAUGUGGACAGUAUGGGAGUGAGAAUGUUGGCAUGAGUAGCGAGAUGUGGGUGAGAAUCCCACAGGCCGUAAACCCAAGGUUUCCAGGGGAAGGUUCGUCCGCCCUGGGUUAGUCGGGACCUAAGCUGAGGCCGAAAGGCGUAGGUGAUGGACAACAGGUUGAUAUUCCUGUACUACCGAUAACCGUUUGAGAGAAGGGAUGACACAGUAGGAUAAGCUAAGCACACUGUUGGUUAUGUGUGCCCAAGCAUUGAGGCAGUCAAAGUAGGCAAAUCCGCUUUGAUAAUGCUGGGAUGUGAUGGGGAGCGAAAUUUAGUAGCGAAGUAGCUGAUUUCACACUGUCAAGAAAAGUCUCUAUCGAGGUUAAAGGUACCCGUACCGCAAACCGACACAGGUGGGUGAGGAGAGUAUCCUAAGGCCAGCGAGAGAACUGUUGUUAAGGAACUCGGCAAAAUGACCCCGUAACUUAGGGAUAAGGGGUGCCACCAUCAGGUGGCCGCAGAGAAUAGGCCCAAGCGACUGUUUACCAAAAACAUAGGUUUCUGCUAAGUCGCAAGAUGAUGUAUAGGAGCUGACGCCUGCCCGGUGCUGGAAGGUUAAGGGGAUCUGUUAGAGCAAUCGAAGCAGUGAACUUAAGCCCCAGUAAACGGCGGCCGUAACUAUAACGGUCCUAAGGUAGCGAAAUUCCUUGUCGGGUAAGUUCCGACCCGCACGAAAGGCGUAACGAUUUGGGCACUGUCUCAACAACAGACUCGGUGAAAUUGUAAUUCCGGUGAAGAUGCCGGAUACCUGCGACAGGACGGAAAGACCCCAUGGAGCUUUACUGUAGCUUGACAUUGGGUUUUGGUACUACAUGUACAGGAUAGGUGGGAGGCUUUGAAACCAGGACGCCAGUUUUGGCGGAGCCAUCCUUGGGAUACCACCCUUGUAGUACUGGGACUCUAACCAUAGGCCAUGAAUCUGGUCUUGGGACACUGUCAGGUGGGCAGUUUGACUGGGGCGGUCGCCUCCCAAAAGGUAACGGAGGCGCUCAAAGGUUCUCUCAGUACGGUCGGAAAUCGUACGUAGAGUGUAAAGGCAAAAGAGAGCUUGAUUGCAAGACAUACAGGUCGAGCAAGGAUGAAAAUCGGACUUAGUGAUCCGGUGGUUCUGCGUGGAAGGGCCAUCGCUCAACGGAUAAAAGCUACCCUGGGGAUAACAGGCUUAUCUCCCCCAAGAGUCCACAUCGACGGGGAGGUUUGGCACCUCGAUGUCGGCUCAUCACAUCCUGGGGCUGUAGUAGGUCCCAAGGGUUGGGCUGUUCGCCCAUUAAAGUGGUACGCGAGCUGGGUUCAGAACGUCGUGAGACAGUUCGGUCCCUAUCCGUCGCAGGCGUAGGAAAUUUGAGAAGACCUGUCCUUAGUACGAGAGGACCGGGAUGGACGUACCUCUGGUGUACCAGUUGUCCUGCCAAGGGCAUGGCUGGGUAGCUAUGUACGGAAUGGAUAAGCGCUGAAAGCAUCUAAGCGCGAAGCCAACUUCAAGAUAAGAUUUCCCACCGCAAGGGUAAGACCCCAGAAAGACUAUCUGGUUGAUAGGUCGAAGGUGUAAGUGCAGCAAUGUAUUUAGCUUAUCGAUACUAAUAGGUCGAGGACUUGACCAA